UAGGGAAUCUUCGGCAAUGGACGAAAGUCUGACCGAGCAACGCCGCGUGAGUGAAGAAGGUUUUCGGAUCGUAAAACUCUGUUGUUAGAGAAGAACAAGGACGUUAGUAACUGAACGUCCCCUGACGGUAUCUAACCAGAAAGCCACGGCUAACUACGUGCCAGCAGCCGCGGUAAUACGUAGGUGGCAAGCGUUGUCCGGAUUUAUUGGGCGUAAAGCGAGCGCAGGAGGUUUCUUAAGUCUGAUGUGAAAGCCCCCGGCUCAACCGGGGAGGGUCAUUGGAAACUGGGAGACUUGAGUGCAGAAGAGGAGAGUGAAAUUCCAUGUGUAGCGGUGAAAUGCGUAGAUAUAUGGAGGAACACCAGUGGCGAAGGCGGCUCUCUGGUCUGUAACUGACGCUGAGGCUCGAAAGCGUGGGGAGCAAACAGG
rnacentral:rRNA from 1 species